rnacentral:snoRNA from 1 species
UGCAAAUGAUGUUUUUUCUCACGAUGGUCUUCCAAGUCUCUCGGGCUCUGACGACACUGCCUUAUGGCAUUACUGAUGCAGCAUA